AUUGAACGCUGGCGGCAGGCCUAACACAUGCAAGUCGAACGAGUGGCGGAGGGGUGAGUAAUGUCUGGGAAACUGCCCGAUAGAGGGGGAUAACCACUGGAAACGGUCGCUAAUACCGCAUACCAUCGGAUGUGCCCAGAUGGGAUUAGCUAGUAGGGGGGGUAACGGCUCACCUAGGCGACGAUCCCUAGCUGGUCUGAGAGGAUGACCAGCCACACUGGAACUGAGACACGGUCCAGACUCCUACGGGAGGCAGCAGUGGGGAAUAUUGCACAAUGGGCGCAAGCCUGAUGCAGCCAUGCCGCGUGUAUGAAGAAGGCCUUCGGGUUGUAAAGCACUUUCAGCGGGGAGGCGUUACUCGCAGAAGAAGCACCGGCUAACUCCGUGCCAGCAGCCGCGGUAAUUC
rnacentral:rRNA from 1 species